CCUACGGGUGGCAGCAGUGAGGAAUAUUGGUCAAUGGGCGGAAGCCUGAACCAGCCAAGUCGCGUGAGGGAAUAAGGCCCUACGGGUCGUAAACCUCUUUUGCCGGGAAGCAAGGGCGGGGACGUGUCCAGGCCCGGAGAGUACCCGGAGAAAAAGCAUCGGCUAACGCGGUGCCAGCAGCCGCGGUAAUACGGAGGAUGGGAGCGUUAUACGGUUUUAUUGGGUUUACAGGGGUCGUAGGCGGGCUUUUAAGUCAGCGGUAAAAAUUCGGGGCUCAACCCCGUCCGGCCGUUGAAACUGGGUGCCUUGAGUGGGCGAGAAGAAGGCGGAAUGCGUGGUGUAGCGGUGAAAUGCAUAGAUAUCACGCAGAACCCCGAUUGCGAAGGCAGCCUUCCGGCGCCCUACUGACGCUGAGGCACGAAAGUGCGGGGAUCGAACAGGAUUAGAUACCCUUGUAGUC
rnacentral:rRNA from 1 species